AGCCCAACCCGGGCUUGAACCCACGAACCGCGAGAUCAUGACCUAAGCCAAAGUCGAAUGCUUAACCAAUGGAGCCAGCCAGCCGCCCCUCGUCUCUAUGAUUUUGACUGCUCUAAGCACCUCAUAUAAAUGGAGGAAUACAGGCUUAUUUUUUAUUUUAUUGUGUCGGGCUUGUUUCACUUAGCAUAAUGUCCUUGUGGUCCGCCCGUGCUGUAGCCCGUUCAGAAUUUCCUUCCUUUUAAGGUUGAAUAAUAUGCCAUUGGGUGUAUACACCACAUUUCGUUUAUCCAGUCAUCAAUCAAUGGACACGUGGUUUCCUUCCACGUCUUAGCUCUUCUGGAUAAUGCUGCCAAUAAACACGGAUGUGCACGUAUCUCUUGGAUUUCCUGCUUUCAGCGCUUUGGGGGUACAUACCCCAAAGUGGAAUCGUGGGAUCAUUAGGUAAUUCUAUUUUGACUUUUCAGAGGAGCCGCCAUGCCGGAAGCCAAGCUCUCCAAGCAGCCUGAUGUCCGGGCCCAGGCGGGGAACGGAUCGGGACCACAUGGUGGCCCAGCGACAGUGAAGCUUCUUGUACUCCUGCUGUCAUGUCAUUUGACCUUAGCGUUGGUCGGGGCGGCCCCCCUACCAGUGAAAGUACCUGGGAUUUGCCGGUUGGAGAAUUGCCCACGACGGGCGCCCCCCCGGGAAAAGAACCACUGGGGAAAGAAAUAAGAUGCCGCAGGGAAAUUGUGUGGCCCCACAUCCAGCCCUUGCCACCCCCUAUAAAGACUCCUCUACCUAAAGGAAGGACAGCCCCAUAUAUUUCCCAGCCAAGGAGGGGGGACAAACGGGUUCGAAAUCCCCACUCCGGCAACAAAGGAAUGUAUCUAUGGAUACAAGUUGCUCCAACCCCUAGGCCCCCUUGGCCCCCAGGAGGCAUUCCAGAUGAUAACCGGACCUGGUGGGUUAAGGUACAGAAUGGUUCAUUAGUUCCUAAGUAUACUUUGUCUCCCUGGGAGCGCGUAAGGCGUGGGUCCCCAGGGCCCUCUUGGCUCCCUCCCGGCACCCCAGACCCUGGUACCGCCAAUGGCACAAAGGAACAAUUAAGAAGUCAUGUCCUUGUAAACAUUCCACUUGAGGUGUUGAGAGCUUGAUGACCUUGAAAGGGCAGGAGGGAAUGUUCUAAGAAAAUAACUCUGUUGUUCCUUUAUGGGUGAUCACACAAAGGAACAUUUUUAGAAUCAGGUAAUGCCGAGAAACAUAGAGAACGCCCGCUACAAGGAAUUUGCUAACAAAUAUAACGCCACGCUCACCAUGAUAAAACGGCCAGUCUAACACUCUGCUGUUGUCUGUGUCCGUCUGUCAUCUUCGCCGACGCCGUUCAUCCUUCCGGAACCCCUGGACCUGCUGGGGCUGGACCUCGGCAAGUGGUGCCCGAACAGGGACCUGAAGACAGGCUCAUCGGACUUGUCCAACCCACCGCCUCCUCCGCCUUACCACUUGCUGACUCAAACAAGAGACAUCUUCCGGAGGAGCACCUAAGAGAACCCCUGACACAUCACAUGAGAAAGCUUCGCCUUCAGGACGACUGGCAGCCGCUGAGACCGACACCGGCGCCGCGGCGGGGACCCACCCAGACGACUCGAGAAAGCGGUCCGCCAACUUGGGGCCAACUGAAGAAGCUGACCAAAGAAGCCGGAGGUGUGGUUCUCAACCAAGGAGUUCAGUUUCUCCUUCUACUCUCUGUUGCUAUGCUUGCUAUCUUGGCGCGUCAGGUAAAUGGUGUUGAACCGGUUGCUUCGCGUUGGGCUUAUUUACCUAACCCUCCUUCUUGUCAACCGGUAACUUGGGAAAAUGAGGUUAUCCCAGUUUACACGAACAUUCCUCUUUGGAUGGGGGGACCUCAGUCUCCUGCUCAAUUGGGACAGGCUGUUAAUACAAAGAACUUCUCCUUUGAUGGAGUCUCAA